AUCAGCCAUGCCGCGUGUGUGAAGAAGGCCUUUUGGUUGUAAAGCACUUUAAGCGAGGAGGAGGAGCUCUUGGUUAAUACCCAAGAUGCUUGGACGUUACUCGCAGAAUAAGCACCGGCUAACUCUGUGCCAGCAGCCGCGGUAAUACAGAGGGUGCAAGCGUUAAUCGGAUUUACUGGGCGUAAAGCGCGCGUAGGUGGCCAAUUAAGUCAAAUGUGAAAUCCCCGAGCUUAACUUGGGAAUUGCAUUCGAUACUGGUUGGCUAGAGUAUGGGAGAGGAUGGUAGAAUUCCAGGUGUAGCGGUGAAAUGCGUAGAGAUCUGGAGGAAUACCGAUGGCGAAGGCAGCCAUCUGGCCUAAUACUGACACUGAGGUGCGAAAGCAUGGGGAGCAAACAGGAUUAGAUACCCUGGUAGUCCAUGCCGUAAACGAUGUCUACUAGCCGUUGGGGCCUUUGAGGCUUUAGUGGCGCAGCUAACGCGAUAAGUAGACCGCCUGGGGAGUACGGUCGCAAGACUAAAAC
rnacentral:rRNA from 1 species